UUAAUUACCUGUCCAGGAAGUCACCAUGAUCACGCAGGUGGUUUCCCAGGGCAAGGCUCACCCGUUGCACCGGGGUGAGCUGACCCCUGUGAUUAUAACAAAUGCGGGAAGCUCAGCUGCAUAAUUUGUAUUGGUGUGGGGGGGCUGCUUUCACACUCCCCUC